UACAGAGGUCUCAAGCGUUGUUCGGAUUCAUUGGGCGUAAAGGGUGCGUAGGCGGCUCGGUAAGUCGGGUGUGAAAUCUUGGAGCUUAACUCCGAAACUGCAUUCGAUACUGCCGUGCUUGAGGACUGGAGAGGAGACUGGAAUUUACGGUGUAGCGGUGAAAUGCGUAGAUAUCGAGAGGAACACCUGCGGCGAAGGCGGGUUGCUGGGCUGACACUGACGCUGAUGCGCGAAAGCCAGGGGAGCGAACGGG
rnacentral:rRNA from 1 species